UGGGGAAUUUUCCGCAAUGGGCGAAAGCCUGACGGAGCAACGCCGCGUGAGGGAUGAAGGCCUCUGGGCUGUAAACCUCUUUUAUCAAGGAAGAAGAUCUGACGGUACUUGAUGAAUAAGCCACGGCUAAUUCCGUGCCAGCAGCCGCGGUAAUACGGGAGUGGCAAGCGUUAUCCGGAAUUAUUGGGCGUAAAGCGUCCGCAGGCGGUCUUACAAGUCUGUCGUUAAAGCGUGGAGCUUAACUCCAUUUAAGCGAUGGAAACUGUAAGACUAGAGUGUGGUAGGGGCAGAGGGAAUUCCCGGUGCAGCGGUGAAAUGCGUAGAUAUCGGGAAGAACACCAGUGGCGAAGGCGCUCUGCUGGGCCAUAACUGACGCUCAUGGACGAAAGCCAGGGGAGCGAAAGGGAUUAGAUACCCCUGUAGUC
rnacentral:rRNA from 1 species